AACGAACGUUGGCGGCGUGGAUUAGGCAUGCAAGUCGAGGGAAUGCCCGCAAGGGUGGAACCGGCGUAAGGGGCAGUAAGGCAUGGAUAACUUACCCUGGGAUUUGGCAUAGCUCGUAGAAAUACGAGGUAAUUCCAAGCGAUGUGAUUGGGGGGCAUCCUCUGGUCACCAAAGGUCCGCUGUCCUGGGAGAGGUCCAUGUGAUAUUAGCUAGUUGGUGAGGUAACGGCUCACCAAGGCGAAGAUGUCUAGCGGGUGUGAGAGCACGACCCGCGCCACUGGCACUGAGACACUGGCCAGACACCUACGGGUGGCUGCAGUCGAGGAUCUUCGGCAAUGAGCGCAAGCUUGACCGAGCGACGCCGCGUGUGCGAUGAAGGCCUUCGGGUUGUAAAGCACUGUCGAGGGGGAGAAAGGGCAACUUGAUCUAUCCCUGGAGGAAGCACGGGCUAAGUUCGUGCCAGCAGCCGCGGUAAGACGAACCGUGCGAACGUUGUUCGGAAUCAUUGGG
rnacentral:rRNA from 1 species